CCCCUUUGCCACCAGCCGCACCACCUCAGCAAGGAACGCUGGUCUGUUAUCUGAUCCCAUAGUGAUAGGGAUCCCAAAUCGAGGAAUGAUUUCUUGUAGAAGUCGGGCCAUAUCAUGUGCCUCUUCUGUGCGAGUAGGGAAGGCUUCCACCCACCCUGAGAAAAGGCACACAAAGACCAACAGAUAUGUAUAGCCUCAGACUUGGGGAAGCUCAGUGAAGUCCACCAUUAUAUUUUUCAAAUGGAGCUUCCCAGACACUCUGCACCCCAGGGGCAGCCUUGGGUCCCUGACGUGGGUUAAUCUGGGCACACAUUUCACAUUGCUCACACACGGCUCAGACAAUGCUGGAGAGUCGAGGGAUGUAGAAAUGUCAGCUCAGCAUAGUCUUGAGAGCUGUCCAGCCAAUAUGGGUUUCCUGAUGGAACUGCUUGACAAAAGCUGGAGCCAGGGCCUCAGGAAUUGCUACUCAGCUAUUUUCAAAUUCCCACCAUCCACCUGGGAGGUAGCUUCCAUUUUCAGUCUUAAAACAGGUACUGUCAUGUUGUAAUUAGGGUCCCAUUCUGCCAGUGGACUAGGGAACAGUGCAGCGGUUAAAGCUGCUGAUUCUGCUGUUUCUUUGGAGACCGCAAGCUUUCCUCUCGGUCUGCCUUAUGGUUUCCCUGUGCAGCCAUGGUGUCUCCCUUUUGUUGUCCCUGACAAUGCAUGAUGGCCAAUAUUUUAGGGGUCACACAGUGUCUAAGAGUUUAAGGAUUUCCUUAUCACACUUUAUAUCUUUUCUUCCUGAGUUUAUUAGACCCUUCUCUUUAUAUAAAGCCCCAUAUAUGUGGAAGGUGGUGAAAGCAUACUUAGAGUCUGCAUACAUAUUAACACGUAUCCCUGCUGCCAGUUGGAGGGCCCAGGUUAGCAUGAUAAGCUCUGCCUUCUGUGCCAAAGUGCCCUUUGGCAGGGGUUUGGCCUCAGUGAUAGAAUUCAGGGUUACCACAGAAUACCCUACAAGGCAUCUUCCCUCUUUCACAAAAAUGCUACUGGCAGUGAAAUACUCAGCAUCAGGGUCCUUGAGGGGCUGGUCUCUUAAGUCUAGUUGACUGGAGAACACUUCACCUCAUUCAUGACUUCAAUGCAGUCAUGAUAUGGUUGACCUGGCCCGACAAGCUGUAGGGUUUCAGGGUUUAGUGUCCACACUACUUCUAGGUGAAUGCGUGGGUUCUUACAUAGCAUUCCCUGAUAUCUGACCAUCUGGGCUUUGAUUAGCCAGUAUUGUCCUUUGUACUCCAUUAAUGUCAACACUGAAUGUGGCACUCAGACUGUCAAUUCUUGUCCCAUAGUUAAGUUGUCAGCCUCAGACACUAAGAACACUGCAAGUGCCUGUAGGCAGUAUGGCCAGCCUUGGGCAACAGAGUCAAGUUGAUUGAGACAUAUGUCACUGGGUGAUGCCAUGACCCCAACAUCUGGGUUAGGACUCACUCCCACCACGAUGCCAGUAGUUCAUGAAUGUACAAGAAGAAGGGCUUGGGCAUGUCUGGGAGCCCUGGACCAGGAGUGUCGGUGAGGGACUAUUUGAUCUCUUCAAAGGCUCAUUGCUGUACUUGCUCCCAUAACAGAGGUUCCUGCUCUCCUCCCUUUGUGGCCUCAUAAAGGGGUUUGGCCAAGACUGAAAAGUUAGUUAUCUAGAUUCUACAGAAACCUGCGGCCCAGAGAAACUCCUGAACCUGACAUCGGGUCAAUGGGACCGGGAUCGAACAAAUGACCUGUUUUCUCUCCAGGCUGAGUAGGCGCUGCCCCUGGGAGAGGUGAAAGCCAAGGGCUGCCUGGGUAAUUCAGCGAUGUUCCUCCAUGUUGAAGAGGGUCAGGAGGAGUUGGCAGCAGUCCAUCCAGGUAUAUAUCCUUUUUUUGGAGUAUAAAUGUGAGUGUAGAGGCCAGAAAAAUGAAGCCAGAUGAUAUUGGAGGAAAACUUCCCAGGACUGCUUUCAGAAGGCUAACAACAGGUUAAGGUGAAUGUGUCACUGUUUUCUACUUUCUUCUUACUGCAGUGAAAAAAAAAAAAGUCAUUGAAAUGCUGAAUGCUUAACUUCUUUCAGCAGUAAGCCUCAUAAGAACAUCAAUAAAAAUUUAAAAGUUCUUUUUUCUUUCCUUUUACUUUUCUGGCUUGCAUGAGUGUCUCUCAUCACCCAGCUUAACCCUUUCCCUACAAAAUUUUUCUUCCUGAAACUUGAGCUCUGCUUUCAUUACUUUUGCCAUUAUGCAAAAGGUGAUUUGGGAAAAAAAAAUUUAGAAAAGUUUUCUAUAUCUGUGUUACAAUUUUGACAAUAGUGAAGAAAAAUGGAAUUCAUUACUGCUACCUCAAUGGAAAUUAUCCUCCUGUAAAUACUUCAGAGGUGAUUUCCAGGCAAUUAACACUGGGGACAAGUUUGAUUGCUUAUUGACUUCUGAGUAUAACCGCACAUUAACUAAUUAAUUAAUUUUUUUGUAGGAAAUUUUUAAAUCUGCCUGAAAUUAGGUUGUUUUUUUUUAUCUGAAACUUUAAAGUUGUUGAAAUUAAUCACAUUUUAGAAGUUCAGGGUCUGGCCAGGUGAUGAAUAUGUGGCCAAGAAAUUUCUUUGUAAGUCUGCUAAUAAAUAAAAAGGGCAUCUUUGAUAAGUUCCACAAUCUUCUCUUGCAUUAGAUUAUAUGAUUAGAUUUUUCCUCUCUUUAAUUCUUUCAAGGUGAUAACUAGCUAAAGAAACACUAUUGAGGACUGAAUUUGUAUGCAAAGUGAUUCUAUUGGUUUUUAUAACUUUUAGAUGAAUAUGAAAAACUUUUCAAGCAUAUAUGGAGUUUGGUGUAAUAUGAUAUGUCUGAGUGUUAUAUUUUAGCUCUAGUGUAAUAUUAUAAAAUUAUUACUUUGGAAGAAAAAUUUCAUAUCCUUAUGAGGCCCCAAGAUAGUCUUUUUCACUAAAGAAAAAAACAUGAGACAUUAGCUCAGCCUCUUGGUUUAUAAACUGUGCAGCUUGAGUAUGUUGUUAGAGUUUUAAAAACAAGGAAAUUCAAAUUGUAAAGAAGUCUUAUGAGUUGUGGUUGAAUGCAAAAAUUAGUUAAUUUUGGGAAGUGUAUUGGCUCUAUUCUGUAAGCUAAUUAUCCAAAUCUUAUUAAGAUUAGAUGUAUUUCUAGCCCAGAUUUCUUUCUUGCUAGUUGGCUCAGGAUAGUUCCAUACCUAGUAGAGACAGAGAAUUAAAGUAAUUACCUAAAUAUUUCAAGUGAGAAAGUGAUUCUCCUUAAGUAUUAAGUUUAAUGAGGCUUAAAAAGUUGUUUUAGGUGACCUGAGUCAGUCUUCCCAGCCUACCCUCAAUGGCCAAUUGAAUUCAAUACUCAAUACAAAAAGUAUUGAGGGAAAAAAAAGGAGUCCUCUUUAUGGGGGAUAUGGACAAAGAAUUAGACUACCCUCAAUGGCCAAUUGAAUUCAAUACUCAAUACAAAAAGUAUUGGGGGAAAAAAAAAGGAGUCCUCUUUAUGGGGGAUAUGGACAAAGAAUUAGAAGUAGACCUCCUAGUUAGAAGGGCAGCUCCUUAUGUCCCUUAAUUCUCCACACAAGACCUCUGCCACAUGAAUGGGGUUGCUAGGACUUCAAGGAUCUCUUUAGGACCAUGUGACUGUUCCCUGGAACUAGCAUUUAUCCUUGGUCUUUGGCCAUUCUCUUCCUUGCUUUCAUUUAUUAAAAUCUUAGUGUUUUCACUGGUGCCACUCCCCAAGGCUUUUACAUAGGACAUGGGGCUUAUUUCCCAUUGGCUUUUAAAUGGAAAAGGAUAUUAAACUGGAGGUUUUAACUGAGACAGUACUAUAUCAGUAAGAUAUCAAAGUGAGUCAUCAAACAGAUGACCCUGUAAAGUUUAAAUUCGAAUGAAUGUCUCCCUUCGAAUGGAGGUUGUGGAGGCCAAGACUGAGAAGGGUUAUCCCAGACUAGAGUGGGCCAUCGGCUCAAGGAAACUGGAAUGGGAUCUUCCUAAUGUUGCCCCGUAGGACAGCCUGGAGGGUACUCAAGAAAAGUUAGAAGUGACUGCCAGAGUAGUAGAAACCAGGAAGGGUAUAAUAAACUCUGAAAGAGAAUGUAUUUGCUGGAUCAAGGAAUCACUCCAAUGAGUCCAUUCUAAUGUUGGAUAGCUCUGAAGAAUGCACAGAUUUGCCCCAUCAGAGAAAGGCUGCUAUAAACAUCUGUUAUGCCAAGAGAGUGUGAAGGCAGCUUAGGUCUGUGCACUCAACAAAUGCCAGGGAAAACACUGUACUGAUGGAGUUUGGAGCCAAAGUCAGAGGAUACAGCAGCACUGUUAAAUAUAUUUAAAAGACAGUGGAGGGGCGCCUGGGUGGCUCAGUCAGGUGAG